CAGGUUUUCCUCAAAUCAACCGUUAUACUCUCGAAAUGUUGAUAUAUGAAUUUAUGCUGCUGCUAGCAUCAUGGCAUUCUGGAUAAAGAGUUUGUACCAGCUCUCAAGACAGCAUCAAGUAAGAUAGGAGUGUCUCUCCACCAUUUGGAAAAGCCUGACUGCGGGUGUCUCCAUGUUGCUUUGGUCCACAUAUGGGCCUAGAAGGAUCACGACGGGCCCCUGAUUCCAAAUGCUCCAUUUCCAGACCACUCCCCUGAUUUCGACUCUGAGAUGUGUUUAUCGCUAUCUCGAGGUGCAGUUUCUUGACGCUUAUCCCCAUUAUAAUGACACUUGAAUAGACACACACCCUGGCUGUCCCAAGCCGUCCAAAGUGAUGCCCCAGAUAUUAUUAAUUUCGAUUCAAUUAUAGGGAUAUGGUAUUCCUUUUUCUUCCUUCCCUUCCCUUUUCUUUUUUUUGCUGACGAAUAUGCGCAAGGCAGCAUAUUGGCUAAAUAUUGUGGAUACUCUUCCUUAUCCUCUACUUUUGUAACUUGUCGCGAACUUGGACUUUUUGAAAUAUUUUGCUCUACAAAGAUAUCAAUUUUGAAAGGGGGGAAGGGAUCGAAAGGGCAGGAAUGGAGUGGGGUCUAGAUUUUAUGGUGGAUUAGGGGCAGGUUUCAACGGGUGCAUAUGUAUAUCUCACCGCCAUUAUCAGCGGGGAUAUCCUUUGACUGGAUGCACUUUGUACGAUUGUUUGUUGUUUAGAAUUAGGAG
rnacentral:sRNA from 1 species